ACCCAACCCUUCCUCCUUGUUCCAACUGGUCGUUCAAUACAGUACCGUGUUUGUUCGAUUGAACGUUGUAUUACGUUUGUAUGGACUGAAAACAGCCCAGUCGAUGAUGCCAGUGUGACGUAUAAUCUAGUGGAGGGGACGCUUCUUCGAGAACAACAACAGUUAGUCAGACACCUCGUUAGUGUGCUAGACAACAUCGCAGAAACAUUGAAGCCCUUCAGACCAUUACAGUGUCUAUUUGCCACUGUGUUUUGAACACACUUCUGUCGUAUCUACAAGUUACCCCAUUUAAUGUAAUAUUUGCGUUGUUAGUUAUCUAAAUUAGACUAGCCCUAAGCUAAUGCUAAUUAGCUAGCUAACAUCCCCGACCAUGAGCUCAAUAAGCAACUCUCCUCCUGCUGAAGAAGAGGUCUGCUGGACAGAGAAAGAAGCUCUUUGGUUGAACGUUGUUGUGAAAGAAGAGAAGAUACGUUCGGAGUGAAAGAGGACGAGGAGGAUGUUGCAGUUUUUGGAUUGAAGGAGUUGGAGAUCUGUUUAACCAGAAUGGCUGAAGUUUUUGUUCGUUCCAGUUUUUGGAUUGAAGGAGGAGGAAGAAGAGGAGACUGAAGAUCUGAUUAACACCAUUACCGUGUAGGGCACUGCAAGGUUGGGUGACCAGGGUCAUCUGGGACUGCCUUCUGGAGGAAUUCAGGUGUGUGAAGGCUACCUGUGUCCUGCGUAACUUCAUGAGGAUGGACACGAGGACCCGGAGGGGAUCUGCAGCUUGCCGCCGUGUCCCAGAGGAGGAGUCUGCUGCUCUGCAGGAUGUUUCAAGGAUGGGGUCCAACAACACAGCAAGAGAGGCAAUCCGUGUGCAGGAGAUCUUCACCUCCUACUUCUUCAAAGAGGGUGCUGUUCCCUGGCAACACCAUAGACUACACUAUGCACAACCAAGGCUCUUUUAAGAGCCAUCCACAUUGCAAUAGGAGUAUUCUUCCAUUUACUUAGCUAUGUCAACUGCAGUUAUUCAAUUCAAAGUUUCUCUCCCUUUGAUUUCUACUUCUCAGGUGAGGGUGUUUAGGUAAGGGUGUGAUGUCUGUGCAAAAACAAAACAGGCUAUUUUAAAUCACCCAUAUUGAAGAAAUGUAGAGCAAUUAGACACCCUAUAACCCACACCUACACACUCAUGUAUCAAUCUGAUUGAUGGAUUGUGUUGUGCCGUAAGCAGGUUCAGGUGUAUAACUGUGGCUCCUUCUACCUUCAAAGAAUAGGCAAGAGGGCCAACCAUUGAGAAUAGUAAGACACUUAUUUAUUUCUAUGACUACGCUAUAUUGUUUGUUUUUGUGUGUCCGUUCAUGUUUUUCAGCAUAAAGUACACUGCAGUCACUUAGUGUGGUGUGGACACCAGGUUAUAUAAGCUGUGUCAGUGAACCCCUCCUGCAUCUGAACUGGAUACAUAGAGGGCACAGCAUGAUCAGAGACAUGUUUUGAUGUGAGAGGAUGCCAACCCACAGUCCCAUCAUCGCCACCUCACCUGCUUUCAACCUUUGGGCCGACUAGAGACACUGUUAUGUAAUUGUGAUGAACUGAGAGAAUAUUUAGGUAGCACUGUGAUUCAUUAAUCAUGUGCUUACCUCUUUCCCUUUCUGUCUUUUACACCUCUCUCUCCACCUCCUCUUUCUUCCUCUGUUUUUAUAAUGCACAACAGAUGUGCAUUGAAAUACAGAUUGAACUUGUAUAUAUUUCACUUGGAUAAUGAGCUUUUCAAUAAAGCGUUUUACAUUCUCUA